rnacentral:rRNA from 1 species
UUUAUGGAGAGUUUGAUCCUGGCUCAGAGUGAACGCUGGCGGCGUGCUUAACACAUGCAAGUCGAACGAGAACGGAAUAUA